GAUUUUUCAAAAUACCAAGAAACAUCAUGAAAGUCCCUCCAAAGUUAGAAGCAGCCACCAUAAUGAAUCGGCACAUUCUUGGUUCCUGAGUUAACACACAACACGAUGAGGAAUCUGUUCCCCUGGGGAGGAAGCACAGGGAGGACAGAGAUUGCAGCAUUAAGAUCAUGCUGUUGCUAUGGUAAGAGUGUGCAAGACUUCAGGAUUAUUAUUAUUUUUUUUACUUUUAACUUUUUUCUUUUCCCCUCCCUCCCCUUCUGUCUAUGAGCUGGUGAUACUGAGACGGGAAACCCAAGAUUGCAGUCCUCAUAAAGAAAGACAUCUGUUUUGGUUGUCAGCUUGAAGGAGGUCAGGAACAGGCUGUUGAAGAUGACUGUCACACAGUAGAUAAUAAAUCCACGGUGAAAUUAAUGAGUGGGUGUUUUUAAUGGUAAGCAUCUAAAUUGUCUAGAGAGACAGUCUGUUUUUUUCAGGAGACCUCGCUACUGCUGAGACCCGGCAGAAUCAUUGCAAGGAUGGGAGGAGCUGGCCAGAGGGGUCUGCAGGGAGCAUGAAGGGGCUGUGUGGAAUGAGGGAAAAGCCGAGGAGCGACAGGAGUCCCUUCAGAUGCCACGGAACCAAACAGCAGCACAAACUGCUUGAACGAAAAGUAUCUGAGCUGGCCGCUGGGAGAGAGAUCGCGUGAGGCAAGAAACUCCCUUAUGUAUGUGCUGGGAUUUCAAAACCCAGCAUGGAUGGUGCACUGGAGAGCAAAGCUGACUGGAGGUGACCCAGGAGAUGCCUUUAGUCUGAUCUGAGGAGGAAGGGAGCUGGAAAUCCGAUGUCCUUUGAAAGAGGAGCAUAACUCCCACUGGCCUUGUCCAUGGAGAUGGGGACACUGAGAUGACUGAGCACUGUUAUAACUCUGGGUGCUCCCCAUUUGAGUGUCCUGGCUGCUUGUUCCACCCUGUAGACAGUGACCUGGAGGGGUGCAGAGAAAUGGGAGAAGAGGAAGGACACCUUCUGAGGAGCAUCAUUUCAGAUCCAUGGGCUGUGCACCCAGUGUGUUUCUGAGGAGCUUCAUUCUCACCUACAGGUCAUAUUCAGGCACACAUAUCAUCCCUCCACUGCCCAGAGACCGUGCCAGAUGCCACCAGCUCCACCAAAGUGAAGGAGAGCCACUGGACUGCAGUGAACUUCCCCACAGCAGCAGUUGUCCUGGAGUAAGUCUUGCUGUGAGGAAAUAGUUCUGUCUGGGAGAAAGUCAUCUUUGAAGAAAAGACUGGAAUGAAGUAGCAGAAACUCAGCAUCUGCAGCGACAUUCCCUGCACGCCACGCGUAAGAAGGAAAGGUAUGGACUGAAAGCUGAUCCCUAACCUUUCAUCCAUCCAGUGAGCUUCCUACAUCUGGGGAAAGUUAUCCCAGAUUUGUGAAACAAAAGAAGUGCAAACAAGUCCCACCUUCCUGUCCUCUGCUUCCUCCCCAGCUGGAUUAAAAUUGUGCAUUCAGAAAGCACGCCGAAAUGGAUUCCAUUUAAUGAAUUCUGUUUGAAAGCUGGAGAGAGGUUUGCAGCCAGCAGAGGAGGGAAGCUCUGGAACAGCCUUCAGCAGGAGGAGUGGGUGGCAAGCAGCAGCCUGACUAGUUUUAUGAUGAAGCUUGAUCAGUUUACGAGUGGAAUUAUGUGGUGAGGUUGCCUGAGAUAGCAAGGGACUGGAUGAUACGACCUCUGAGAUCUCUUUCAAUCACGUGCUAUUCAACUGCACUGAAGUCAUGGGAUAUAAUAGACACAGUUAAUUUUUUUCAUGGACACUACUUUAGUUUAUGCCAGCUGAGAAUCUGCCCUAGUGUGGCCAAAGUCAAGGCAACCUUUAAUCCCUGUAAUGUGUGAUAGCACUUCAGUCCUCUCUGCCCACACCUGGCUUCCUGAUAAUACCAAUGAUGUCUUUAUUCUGCAAUGUCUUUUUCUAUUGUAGAGAUGUUAGCCAUGGCCUAUCUGAUGGCCACAUUCAAAUAUAUAUUUUUCCCUUUGUCUGGCAAUAAAAGAUACCUUGAAAGAGCAAGGAUGGUGGGGAGAAUGUCAUGUGGGGUCACGAGGCACCGGCGUUCCACAAAAGGGAGCAAAAUAACAAUGAGAAAAUACCACAAAACACUUUCCAGAAAUAACUGCCUAAUUAAUACAGCUUUUGUUUGCUCAGUAGCUGAACCCCCUUUUUCCUACGCUUGAGAAUGGCUACUGGGGAAUAUUAGAGGGAACUUGAUUUUGUUUCUAAGCUUUACCCCUAACAACCUGCUUUGAUAGAGAAAUGUGUAUGAAAUCAGGGACAGAUACACAGCGUGUGAACUCUGGGCUGUGUCAGAACUAACCAGCGCAACAUGAACAUGGGAUAUAGAGUACUAACAAUGUACUGCCUUUUUUUUUUUAUAUAUAUAUAUAUAUAUGUCACAGAGGGACAGUGUGCCCCCAAUCAAAGUGCUAGAUGGACUACAAACACAGAACAAAAAAGACAACCUGCAGAAGCUUACAAUUCAAGUAAGUUGCGGUACAGAAAAAUAAUCCCAGGAAAAAAAUAUUUGGCAAAUAAAUCCAAAGAAUUAAUGAUCUCGGUUGUAGGAGGAUAACUCACAAAAAGGCAAAAUGAGUCUAAUAAAUUAGAAAGAAGCAAAAUUAGCCUAAUAAACCUUCGGCUAGAAGUUAAUCCUUGCAGUGCACGGGUACAAUGUAACUUCCCUCUGGGUGACCCCAAGCGUGGAGAGGGGCAGAGUGUGGAUGAACCAUUAUGGACGUGUCAGAGUUGGGGAAGAAAGUGGGAGCCAAGUGUUUGUUUUGCUCCUUUCCUGUUGCUCAUGAGAUAACAGAUGCCUCAGUGUGUACCCAGUCCAUUCCUGAUAGGAGACUGACACUGGGGUUGUAGAUCUAACUGUUUAGCUUUGUAAGACUUCCAGUUUUGUAGGGCUUUUUUCCCAGUUUCUGCGGUCAGCCAAAAUGGCAUCUGUUCUGCUGUUGUUUCUCUAGAGGUCUUCAGAGAUCUGCUGUGCAUGCACUGUUAGUGUAAACCAGCAGUGCUGGACUCAUCCCUCUGCAUUUGAGGGUACCAAAAGCAGGAUCUAGUUUUAUAACCCCAUAAAAUAAAUUUGCCCAAGCUGCACAGGAAAGCAAGCCCAGUUGCACAUUUUUUUAAAUUAAUUGAUCCUAUGGGCAACAGCUCAAGGUACAAAAGUUCAUGGUUUCUCUUACCACCCCCAAGAGGCACCUCUCUUUUCCAUGUUUGACAUGGGAAUGGCAUCGAGAUGUCCCUCCAUCUGCCCCUGUGAAGGGGCAGGUUGGAAGAGGGAACAUGCCAGGUCAGGACUCUUUGGUCCCAAAAUACAGCCAUGGAGUAGGGAAGGAUGUCCCCAGACAAAUAUCUUGCUCUUGCCAGCACAUACAGAAGUAUGUUUUCUGUGCAUCCCUGCUGCUAGUGAGGAAAGACUUGAAGUGAUGUCUAAAACUCCACUUUUAAGAAACCUCAGCAGCUGCCCAAGGACACCAGUUUGCUUAAUUGCUGUAUCAGUACAUUCAAAGAUACUCACUAUCUCACUAUCGGCCCCAGCGAAACGUGUAUUAUCCAUUUGUCCUUGAAACCAGCCAUCCCCUCGCUAAGUGAUUAAAGUAGUCUUGUGCCGGAUGAACCGUGCACAUCUCUUUUUUUUUCUUUCUUCUCCCCCCAAAAGAUAUCAUCCCCCCUGCCUUCCUGCUAGUCAUGACAGAGCUCCUUCCUUGCAAUUUAUUAUGUUUGCACUCAUUUGUUUUUCUUCAGACGCUGCAUCCAGUGACCUCUGGCAAAGAAAUGGGAAUAGCACACACUCUUAUCCUGGCACAAGGCAGGAGCAGUGACAAAUUGGUUUACUUUUCUGCUUGAUGCUGGGGGUUGUGAGUAGGGAAAGGGGGGUUUAUUAGCCUGGACUUACUUAUGUGUCUGAAAUAUGCUUUGUAAUCACUCCUCUCUGAUGUUACUUAAAUAUGUAGUUGGGCUUGUCUGUUACUGUCCGGGAAUGCAGAAAGUUUUGCCUGAAUAGAUGGAAACUUCUGGUGGGAAAUAAAC